UCUGUUUCCUUUUUUACUUUGACAUUCGCCUGCGUUCUCACUAAAUUGCGUAAAAUUUUCGGAACUUUUAGUUGCGUUGCCCCGAAUAAAGACUAAAGAGCAUUCAAAAAGCGCCUUGCUGCUGUUCCUGCUGCAACGUACCACCAAAUUGGUUUGUAAUUCAACAUUGCGAUUUGUAACUUUACACUGUUCUGUUCCUGGUGGAACAUAGCACCAUAGUGCCUGGUGAUUCCACAUCCCAACAGCAAGUUGGAAGUCGGUUCCUGCUUCAUUGUGCCACCUUAUUGCUAGGUGAAUCAACAACCAAGUUUGUUGCUCUUGCUGCAUUGUGCCACCGUAUUGGUGUAUGAUUUAACAUUGCGAUUUCUCUACAUUGUGCUGAUCCUGCUGCGUUGUGUCACCUUAUUGUUAGGUGAUUCAACAACCGAGUUUGAAGGCUGUUACUGCUGCAUUGUGCCACCCUAUUGUAACGUAAUUUGAACUUCUGAGCUGUAAACUUCUUUCGUGGUAAGAUUGUACAUAAAGUAGAUCUUUUGUUAAAAUGUAAACAUGUACACGUUCUGAGAUUUUGUAGAAUAAAGAAUGAAACAUACAUAAACAUACAUAAGUGGCAAACUAUUUCACUUUGAAAUCGGGGAGCUAUGGUAUUAACCGAUACUGUAUAUAAAUACACAAAAUAAACAAACAUUUUAUUUGUCACGUAGAAAGAAUCGUUUCGUAGCUUGGUGAUUUUUAGUCUACAGUUGUAUACUAGUUGUUAACCCUCUGGAAGAUAUAUCACAAUCUAGCUCUAAGUGGG